GACAGGAGGUAGCAGCGUUGGUGAAUUAUUGGGCGUAAAGGGCGCGUAGGCGGUGCGGUAAGUCUGUAGUGAAAUCUCUGGGCUCAACUCAGAGUCUGCUGCAGAAACUGCCGUGCUUGAGUGUGGGAGAGGUGAGUGGAAUUCCCGGUGUAGCGGUGAAAUGCGCAGAUAUCGGGAAGAACACCUAUGGCGAAGGCAGCUCUCUGGGACGGUACUGACGCUGAGACGCGAAAAGCGUGGGGAGCGAACAGG
rnacentral:rRNA from 1 species